UUUUUCUAUUCGGCUGCUCAAGCCUCCACCUGAUUGAGACCCUGAAGACAGAAGAAACAAAGGAAAAAUUGAGGGAAUAUGUAGGAAAAAUCAACGAGAACGAAGGAAAGAUAGAAGAAAUCAAAAGAUUCGUCAAGCUUGAGGUGCCAUAUCGGAUGAUUGGGUGGUUGAAGUAGUGCUUUAAAGAAGCUUAGCCUUUGUGGGAUUAGGUGGAGUAAAUAAUCAAGGAUGAGUUACUACACAGAUUUGAGGCAAGGUACAGAUGGUCUCCAGCAAAAGAUCAUAAUGUUAGGAAAUGCUUAAUGAGUACCAAUAGAUAUCUACUUACUAGUAUAAUAAGUGAGACAUAAAAGAAAUAUGUUGAUAAGUUAAAGGAGACGAAUCCGCAAGCUACACUUCCAGACAGUUUGGUUAUGAACUUAUUAGGUGUAGUAUUAUGUUUGAUACUGGAUACUAACUGGAGUUGAAUUGUUUAAUAUUUUGAUAUACUGUAUUUGCUUAUGUAUUUUGAGGUGUAGUUUUAUGUGUUGUAUAUGACUGUGUAUUUGAACGAUAUUUGAAUUAUUAUGAAUAGAUUAAUUAAUUUAAAUUUUAGUAUA